rnacentral:rRNA from 1 species
GACGAACGCUGGCGGCGUGCUUAGCACAUGCAAGUCGAACGGAAAGGCCCCCAUCUUGGUGGGGGUGCUCGAGUGGCGAACGGGUGAGUAACACGUGGGUGAUCUGCCCUGUACUUCGGGAUAAGCUUGGGAAACUGGGUCUAAUACCGGAUAGGACCAUGGUUUAGUGUCUCAUGGUGGAAAGAUUAUUGUUUUGGUGCAGGAUGAGCUCGCGGCCUAUCAGCUUGUUGGUGGGGUAAUGGCCUACCAAGGCGUCGACGGGUAGCCGGCCUGAGAGGGUGGACGGCCACAUUGGGACUGAGAUACGGCCCAGACUCCUACGGGAGGCAGCAGUGGGGAAUAUUGCACAAUGGGCGCAAGCCUGAUGCAGCGACGCCGCGUGGGGGAUGACGGCCUUCGGGUUGUAAACUCCUUUCGUUAGGGACGAAGCCGCACUUUUUUUGGGUGUGGUGACGGUACCUUUGUGAAGAAGCACCGGCUAACUACGUG